rfam:Loxodonta africana unplaced genomic scaffold scaffold_3, whole genome shotgun sequence.
CCUUGGGUGGUACAAAUGGUUAGUGUGCUCAGCUGAUAACUGAAAGUUUGGUGGUUCUAAUCCACCCAGAGGCA